rnacentral:rRNA from 1 species
GGUCAGUUUGUGUCAAGAGAUGUUGGGUUAAGUCCCGCAACGAGCGCAACCCUUAAGCUUAGUUGCCAUCAUUAAGUUGGGCACUCUAAGUUGACUGCCGGUGACAAACCGGAGGAAGGUGGGGAUGACGUCAAAUCAUCAUGCCCCUUAUGAUUUGGGCUACACACGUGCUACAAUGGACAAUACAAAGGGCAGCGAAACCGCGAGGUCAAGCAAAUCCCAUAAAGUUGUUCUCAGUUCGGAUUGUAGUCUGCAACUCGACUAUAUGAAGCUGGAAUCGCUAGUAAUCGUAGAUCAGCAUGCUACGGUGAAUACGUUCCCGGGUCUUGUACACACCGA